rnacentral:piRNA from 1 species
UCUUCUGCCUGGGUUCUCCCAC